AACGCUAGCUACAGGCUUAACACAUGCAAGUCGAGGGGCAGCAUUUUAGUUUGCUUGCAAACUGAAGAUGGCGACCGGCGCACGGGUGAGUAACACGUAUCCAACCUGCCGAUAACUCCGGAAUAGCCUUUCGAAAGAAAGAUUAAUACCGGAUAGCAUACGAAUAUCGCAUGAUAUUUUUAUUAAAGAAUUUCGGUUAUCGAUGGGGAUGCGUUCCAUUAGUUUGUUGGCGGGGUAACGGCCCACCAAGACUACGAUGGAUAGGGGUUCUGAGAGGAAGGUCCCCCACAUUGGAACUGAGACACGGUCCAAACUCCUACGGGAGGCAGCAGUGAGGAAUAUUGGUCAAUGGGCGAGAGCCUGAACCAGCCAAGUAGCGUGAAGGAUGAAGGCUCUAUGGGUCGUAAACUUCUUUUAUAUGGGAAUAAAGUUUUCCACGUGUGGAAUUUUGUAUGUACCAUAUGAAUAAGGAUCGGCUAACUCCGUGCCAGCAGCCGCGGUAAUACGGAGGAUCCGAGCGUUAUCCGGAUUUAUUGGGUUUAAAGGGAGCGUAGGUGGAUUGUUAAGUCAGUUGUGAAAGUUUGCGGCUCAACCGUAAAAUUGCAGUUGAAACUGGCAGUCUUGAGUACAGUAGAGGUGGGCGGAAUUCGUGGUGUAGCGGUGAAAUGCUUAGAUAUCACGAAGAACUCCGAUUGCGAAGGCAGCUCACUAGACUGUCACUGACACUGAUGCUCGAAAGUGUGGGUAUCAAACAGGAUUAGAUACCCUGGUAGUCCACACAGUAAACGAUGAAUACUCGCUGUUUGCGAUAUACAGUAAGCGGCCAAGCGAAAGCAUUAAGUAUUCCACCUGGGGAGUACGCCGGCAACGGUGAAACUCAAAGGAAUUGACGGGGGCCCGCACAAGCGGAGGAACAUGUGGUUUAAUUCGAUGAUACGCGAGGAACCUUACCCGGGCUUAAAUUGCAACAGAAUAUAUUGGAAACAGUAUAGCCGUAAGGCUGUUGUGAAGGUGCUGCAUGGUUGUCGUCAGCUCGUGCCGUGAGGUGUCGGCUUAAGUGCCAUAACGAGCGCAACCCUUAUCUUUAGUUACUAACAGGUCAUGCUGAGGACUCUAGAGAGACUGCCGUCGUAAGAUGUGAGGAAGGUGGGGAUGACGUCAAAUCAGCACGGCCCUUACGUCCGGGGCUACACACGUGUUACAAUGGGGGGUACAGAAGGCGGCUACCUGGUGACAGGAUGCUAAUCCCAAAAACCUCUCUCAGUUCGGAUCGAAGUCUGCAACCCGACUUCGUGAAGCUGGAUUCGCUAGUAAUCGCGCAUCAGCCAUGGCGCGGUGAAUACGUUCCCGGGCCUUGUACACACCGCCCGUCAAGCCAUGAAAGCCGGGGGUACCUGAAGUACGUAACCGCAAGGAGCGUCCUAGGGUAAAACUGGUAAUUGGGGCUAAGUC
rnacentral:rRNA from 1 species